UUUCAACACUUUGGCAGGUCUGAAGGCAAAAGAGUCCAAACCAGGACUAGCAAGUGACCCUCCCCCUCCCCCCGCGCACCUGCACUGCAGCUCGCAAACUUUUGCAGGGCAUGUGACGUCAUUCAGUCCACAGUCGGAGUAGCCGUUUAAGUGGAGCUCUGAAGACUGCAAAGCUUUCUGCAGGUGAAGGAAGCCACGGCAGCAAGCCAAACACAGACGAUAAUGUGGCCCUCACAUGCAGCGAUGACGGCUGUUCUGAUAGUGGUGUUGUAGAUGAAAGUCCCACAGCAGCUACUCCGUGUCGCCCAGAGAAAUGAGAAAGGAGGAGGCAGUGAGAUGGAUGAAGGUGGAAGUUCUGAGCAUUUCUCCUAUCAAAAGAGACCGGAGCACACCAGUGAAGAGAGUGCAGAUGUAGAUGAAGAGAGCAAGGACGCAAGACUGGCUCUGAGGAAAAGAGGAAAAACCAAAGUGGCCAAAGCAAAGGUUUUGUCCUCUGUGGCAGAAUAUAUGCCAGACAAACACAACUCUUGAUAUUGAUCCAGAAUUAUUUCAUUGAGAAACCCUGUGUGAAGGUCAAGAGGCCGUGGAGUGGAGAAAACAACAGUACAAAGACGGUUAUCAGCUUUUCUGAUUUGUUAUUUUUAACCCAUACAAACAAAUCAAGUACUUAAUGAUCACUUUGUUGGUGUAAGUCAUGAAAAGUAGUUACACAUACCUCAACAUAUGCAGAUGUUUAAUAAUCCGAGUUCAUUGUAUUUACCAGUUCCCUAAGGAAAGUUUCCCAUUGAAUGUCCCCAUUUAGGUUAAAGUGAGUGUAUUUGUGUUAAAAACGUCCCCAAAAGUCAUAAGAAUAUGGCAUACUAAUGACUAUAGUUGGAUAUGUUUUGGGAUUAUUUUUCUAAAAAUAGUAUCAUGUUCCUUUUUCAGUAUAAAUCUAUCUAUGAAGUCUGUAAACAAUUUAUCAAUGAUCCCCACACUCAAGCAAGGGUUAUGUUAAAAAAAAAAACCUUCAUUAUGUCUAAGAUUUAAAAAUACGGAACAAAUACCAAUCAGAAUGAGGACUAAGAUAAAGAAAUCCAUCCGAAAAGUAGUUACACGUACCUUAACAUAUGCAGAUGUUUAAUAAUCCGAGUUCAUUGUAUUUACCAGUUCCCUAAGGAAAGUUUCCCAUUGAAUGUCUCCAUUUAGGUUAAAGCGGAGUGUAUUUGUGUUUAAAAACGUCCCCAAAAGUCAUAACUAUAUGGCAUACUAAUGACUAUAGUUGGAUAUGCUUUGUAUUUUUUAAAACAAAAUAGUAUCAUGUACCUUUUUUCUGUAUAAAUGUAUACAUGAAGUUCAAGAACAAUUUAUCAAUGAUCACCACACUGAAGAGUUAUGUUGUAAAACCCUUCAUUAUGUCUAAGAUUUGGAAAUAUGAAACAAAUACCAAUCAGAAUGAGGACUAAGAUAAAGCAAUCCAUCCCCCAAAUGAUUACACAUACUUUAACAUAAGCAAAUAUUUAAUAAUCCUAUUCAUUGUAUUUACCAGUUCCCUAAGGAAAGUUUCCCAUUGACUGUCCCCAUUUAGGUUAAAGCGGAGUGUAUUUGUGUUAGAAACGUCCCCAAAAGUCAUAAGAUUCAGCUGUACCAAUAACUAUAGUUGGAUAUGUUUUUGCAAUGUUUAAAUGGAGGUAUAUUUCUGUAUUUAGUGUUAAUCUACCUUUGAGAUCAGUUAAUAGUUAAUGGUCACUGAUCGUUAAUGAUCACUGUACUCUGGUACUAUACCAAUUCAAUUUCAUUUAUGUAUAUCCUUUUGAUUGUCCUCAUUCAGGUUAACGCAGUGCAUUUUUGUUAGAAAUGUCCCCAGAAGUUAUAAGAGUCAUCUUUUUUGGCAGUUUUCAAUUGUCUCUUGUCUAUUUGUUAUUCAUGUUAAAUCUACUCGUAACAUCAGUGAAAACUAAAAUUAAGAAAUCCAUUCUAAAAUCGUACAGCUUGUCUUAUCACUCACAGAUCUUUAAUACUGUACUUAUUGGUGCCCUCAGGUAAAGGAUAUUUUGAUUGGUUCUAAUGUAGGUUAAAGAAGUGUGUUUAUUAAUAAUUAAAUUAAAUCUUUUAUGAUAGGUUUGCUUCAAAGUUUGGAUAGUUUCUGCAAAUGAAAUGAACCCUUAGUAAUUGUGUACAAAUUAUCUGUGUUAACAAUUCAUAGUUGAAAUUAGAAAUUUCUUUUUUCAUUUAAAUAGAAUAUAAAAACUAGGUUAACUGUCUAAUGUUUGCCUAUUUAACUUAUGUUUAUCUACUCAGGGCUAACCAAGCUGAAGCAGCAUCAUGAGAAAUGCCUGAAACGUAAAAAAAAAAAAAAAUCUGCAAAAUCCGGAUUCCUCAAGGAAUGAGAUUGAGUGUCUUCUUUCAGGUAUGGAGGCAACAAAAACACAAUAGAAUAAGAAAACAGAUCAAGAUGAAGACAGGGACCAGGGACUUCUUCCCAGUGAACAUAUUUGGAAGCAAAGUUCUUGCCUUACAAUUUGCUGGUAACAAACACUCAAUAGUACAGAUGAUUUUUUUCCCCACGUUUCUCUGCAUUAAUGAUGUGCAUGUAUACUCCCAAAACAACACAGUAGUAAUAAAUGCAGUCAAAAAUUUAAAUUGUUCUAUGGCCGAGACAAUGGACAUAGUUUUGAUUUCUUCAAGAUAAAUAGAGACCUUAAUUAUUGUUUAGAUUAUUGUUAGAUUGGGUAUUUAACCUUACAUUGUACUUUGAAGGACUUACCUUUAAGGGAAGUAAUAUCCCCAAAACUGACAUAAAAUAACUUGUGUAUGUGUGUAUUGCUGAAGACCCCAAAGGGGAGUAAGUGUCAGGAUGCCUGGGUCGUUGACCCAUGGUUUUGAGUUUAGAAAUGAUAAAUAAUAGUCUUUGGUUUCUUUGUUAGAGUUCUGUCUUUUUGUUUUUUGUCUCUGUGUAAUCCUUAGUUGCUGUCUCCCCUGUCUGCUAUAUCCACUCAGUGUCUGUCUGCCCUGGUCCCAUGUCUCUCUGUUGUAGUGCCUGCCUGUGAGUCUGUCUGUAAGUUCAGUCUGUGUUAUGUUUCCUGUUUUACUUUGAAAGUCCGUGUCUUAUGUUAAUGUAUCUGGUUUUGCUUCCCCUGUUUCGUUAGGCCUGAUUUGCCCCAGCUGUGUUUCCCUCCUGUUACUCAUUCCCUGAUUGCUCCCUCUGUGUAUUUAAGCCCUGUGUUUCUUUGUGUCUGUGUCGCGAUCUACCCUCAUCUUGCUUUGUGUUCUGUCCGUUUGCCAGUGUAAGUUUAUUCUGUAUUCCUUGAUUUGUUACUUUUUGAGUUUAGCAUUAAAGCUGUAUUUGAGUUCACGUUUUGCCUCCGAGUGUCUGCACUUUGGGUCCUCCUACUACCAUCCCUGCCUGCACACAGCCUACACAUGACAGUAAGGUCCCCAAAACUGACAUAAAAUAACUUGUGUAUGUGUGUGUUGCUGAAGACCCCAAAUGGAAGUAAGGUCCCCAAAAGUGGCAUAAAAUAGUUUGUGUAUGUGUGUGUUGCUGAAGACCCCAAAUGGAAGUAAGGUCCCCAAAAGUGGCAUAAAAUAGUUUGUGUAUGUGUGUGUUGCUGAAGACCCCAAAUGGAAGUAAGGUCCCCAAAAGUGACAUAAAAUAGUUUGUGUAUGUGUGUGUUGCUGAAGACCCCAAAUGGAAGUAAGGUCCCCAAAAGUGACAUAAAAUGGUUUGUUUAUCUGUGUAUCGCUGAAGACCCCAAAGUGGACAUUAAACAUUCCCAGUCCCCAAUGGGAAGGUAAAAAUACUGUCUGGACAAAAGUUGCUUAAAAUGAAAAUCUCAAGUGAUUUUUUAUUUCUGUGGUCUUGGAGGAGUAAAACCCAGUUGCCAGCUUGCUUCUAAACCAUACAGAAAGUGGUGUCCCCAAAGGGUGGGAGUUAAGAUAUGCGACCCCAAACGGGACUUAAGCGGGUAUGUGUGUGUGUGUGUGUGUGUGACAGAGAGAGAGAGAGAGAGAGAGAAAGCCUUUUUAUGGGAUGAUCUCAUUGUAAGAUUCAAAUUCAAUAUAUUUAGACUGGUUGACUGAAUUGGAUCUUGUGUGUGUGUGUGUGUGUGUGUGUGUGU
ensembl:lncRNA